rnacentral:rRNA from 1 species
UGGGGAAUCUUGCGCAAUGGGCGAAAGCCUGACGCAGCGACGCCGCGUGCGGGAAGAAGGCCUUCGGGUUGUAAACCGCUUUCGGGAGGGAAGAAGCGAGAGUGACGGUACCUCCUAAAGAAGCCCCGGCCAACUACGUGCCAGCAGCCGCGGUAAUACGUAGGGGGCAAGCGUUGUCCGGAAUUACUGGGCGUAAAGGGCUCGUAGGCGGUCCUUCAAGUCGGAGGUGAAAGCUUGGGGCUCAACCCCGAGAUUGCUUUCGAUACUGGGGGACUUGAGGCAGGUAGAGGAGAGCGGAAUUUCUGGUGUAGCGGUGAAAUGCGCAGAUAUCAGAAGGAACACCCGUGGCGAAGGCGGCUCUCUGGGCCUGACCUGACGCUGAGGAGCGAAAGCGUGGGUAGUCAACAGGAUUAGAUACCCCCGUAGUCC